UAAUUUAUUUAAAUUUUUUUUACUUUGUUAGUAUUAGUUAUGUUCUUGAAAUUUAAAGUAUUUGGCGGUAUUAUAGUCUUUUUAGAGGAAUCUGUUUCAUAAUUGAUAUUCCACAUUGAACCUUACUUAUUUUAAUUAAUUUGUAUAUCGUUGUUGUUUAAUUUUUUUAGAAUUUAAUUAUUAUUUUUUAAUUAUAAUGUAUUUCAGAUCAAGGUGCAGUUUAUAAAUAAGUGUAAAAAUGGAUUACAAUACAUUUUAUGUAUUAUGAAUUAUUAAUUUAAUUAAUUGAAUAUGAAGGUGGAUUUAAUAGUAAUUUUUUGUAGACUGUAAAUUUGAAUUUUAGCUCUAUAAUAUGU
rnacentral:rRNA from 1 species